AGUUCAAGGUCUCGUUGGUGACCAGCGGAGGGUCAUUACCGAGUUAUACAACUCCCAAACCCACUGUGAACCUUACCUCAGUUGCCUCGGCGGGAACGCCCCGGCCGCCUGCCCCCGCGCCGGCGCCGGACCCAGGCGCCCGCCGCAGGGACCCCAAACUCUCUUGCAUUACGCCCAGCGGGCGGAAUUUCUUCUCUGAGUUGCACAAGCAAAAACAAAUGAAUCAAAACUUUCAACAACGGAUCUCUUGGUUCUGGCAUCGAUGAAGAACGCAGCGAAAUGCGAUAAGUAAUGUGAAUUGCAGAAUUCAGUGAAUCAUCGAAUCUUUGAACGCACAUUGCGCCCGCCAGCAUUCUGGCGGGCAUGCCUGUUCGAGCGUCAUUUCAACCCUCGAGCCCCCCCGGGGGCCUCGGUGUUGGGGGACGGCACACCAGCCGCCCCCGAAAUGCAGUGGCGACCCCGCCGCAGCCUCCCCUGCGUAGUAGCACACACCUCGCACCGGAGCGCGGAGGCGGUCACGCCGUAAAACGCCCAACUUUCUUAGAGUUGACCUCGGAUCAGGUAGGAAUACCCGCUGAACUUAAGCAUAUCAAUAAGCGGAGGAAAAGAAACCAACAGGGAUUGCCCCGUUAACG
rnacentral:rRNA from 1 species